GUGUUUUUCGAGUCAUUUAUCGAUAGAUAGGACAAGAAAAUAUAAUUCAAUAUACUAAUGAACUACAAAAUCCACGUUCGGAAAUUGUCCCUCAAUAAGAAACGGAUCAGUGUGCAGAGGUACUUUCGGGAUUCUUGUAUUUAUUUUUCACAGACACAUAGAAAUAUAAGUAAUAAGUUACCUAUACGGUGUAAAUGUAAGAAUUUAAUAGACGAAAAUAAUCGCACUUAAAUAAACAAAUUAUUCAAUACUUUUGAAUUAUUUGAACAUAGAUUUAUGAAUAAACAUAUAAAAUUUUUCCAAUCUCUGGAAUUAAGAAAUAAGAAUCAAUCGGGUAAAUCCACUAUCUACCUAAAAUU